rnacentral:rRNA from 1 species
CAGAGGUGCCGAGCGUUAGGCGGAAUCACUGGGCUUAAAGCGUGUGUAGGCGGGUCGUUAAGUACCUUGUGAAAUCCCCCGGCUCAACCGGGGAAUGGCUGGGUAUACUGGCGAUCUUGAGCGAUCCAGGGGCAGAUGGAACAAGUGGUGGAGCGGUGAAAUGCGUAGAUAUCACUUGGAACGCCAAAGGUGAAGACAGUCUGCUGGGGAUCUGCUGACGCUGAGACACGAAAGCCAGGGGAGCGAACGGGAUUAGAUACCCCGGUAGUCCUGGCCCUAAACGAUGUCGACUAGAUCGCGGGAGCUCUGACGCUCUCGCGGUCGAAGCAAAAGUGCUAAGUCGACCGCCUGGGAAGUACGGUCGCAAGGCUA